UACCAGCACCCCGAGUGGUCGGGACGAUUAUUGGGCCUAAAGCAUCCGUAGCCGGUCAUGCAAGUCCUCCGUUAAAUCCACCUGCUUAACAGAUGGGCUGCGGAGGAUACUACAAGGCUAGGAGGCGGAAGAGGCAAGCGGUACUCAGUGGGUAGGGGUAAAAUCCUCUGAUCCAUUGAAGACCACCAGUGGCGAAGGCGGCUUGCCAAUACGCGCUCGACGGUGAGGGAUGAAAGCUGGGGGAGCAAAGCCGG
rnacentral:rRNA from 1 species